CUGUCUCCAGAAAACAAAAAAAAAGCUGGAAUGACACAGAAAAAAUUAGCAUGGCUCUUCUCAAGGAUGACUGGCCAACUCUAAAGUGGUCUAUAUUAUA
ensembl:snRNA U6 U6 spliceosomal RNA